rnacentral:rRNA from 1 species
CCUACGGGAGGCAGCAGUGAGGAAUAUUGGUCAAUGGCCGGAAGGCUGAACCAGCCAAGCCGCGUGAAGGACGAAGGUGCCAAGCAUUGUAAACUUCUUUUGUCAAGGGACAAAAUCAGGCUCGAGCGCCUGACCGAGGGUACCUGAAGAAAAAGCAUCGGCUAACUCCGUGCCAGCAGCCGCGGUAAUACGGAGGAUGCGAGCGUUAUCCGGAUUUAUUGGGUUUAAAGGGUGCGUAGGCGGACGGUUAAGUCAGCGGUAAAAGCCCGGGGCUCAACCCCGGCGAGCCGUUGAAACUGGCUGUUUGGAGAGGUGGAGAGGGAUGCGGAAUGCGCAGUGUAGCGGUGAAAUGCGUAGAUAUUGCGCAGAAC